CUCCCUGUAGUUCAACUGGAUAGAACAAGUUCCUCCUAAGAAUUAGACGUCGGUUCAAGUCCGGCCGGGGAGG
rnacentral:tRNA from 1 species